rnacentral:lncRNA from 1 species
GGAAAUAAAGGCUGAAAGAAGUUCAAAUCAUAUAUUAGCUAUUGCUGCUAUAAAAUAUUAUUAUAAACUUAAAGAAACAAUACAAACUUAUUAUCUUAGAAUUUUCUAGUUCAGAAAUCCAACAGUUACCACGAUGCUAACUUCACGGUUUCGGCUGGGCUACUUUCUUUUGUGGAGGCUCUAGAGGAGGCUUGUUCAUUUGGAUUGCUGGCAGAUAGCAGUUUCUUGCAGUUGUGGGACUGUGUUCCCUGUUUCCUGGCUGCCUGUUGGUUCUAGAGACUACUGACAGUGCCGGGCUCAUGAUCUUUCUCCAGCUUCAAAGCCAGCAAUGGCCCAUUUUAUUUCACUGGAUCCACUGGAUGAUGGAGGAUAAUAUCCAUACCUGAAGGUCAGCUGAUUAUUAAACAAUGCUCUUUUGCAAUAUAAAGUAACAAAUUCACAGGUUCUGGUAUUUCAGACUUAGACAUCUUUGGGGGGGCCACUAUUCUGUCUACCAUGCGUUGCAUGUAUCAAAUUAG